ACCUGCGGAAGGAUCAUUGUCGUGACCCUGACCAAAAUAGACCGUGAACAUGUCAUCUAUGCUUCCGUUUGAUGGGGCUUGCACCUAUCUCUCGGUCUAGGCCACUGACCUUCUUUCCAGAGGGACAGGUAGCCAAAAGAACCCACGACGCCGUAUGGCGUCAAGGAAAACAUAAGUUGCCUUGCUCGGGGCCACUACCGGCUUGCCGGAUGCACCUCGUGCAGCGAUGCUAUGUAAUCUCACAUGACUCUCGGCAACGGAUAUCUCGGCUCUUGCAUCGAUGAAGAACGUAGCAAAAUGCGAUACCUGGUGUGAAUUGCAGAAUCCCGUGAACCAUCGAGUUUUUGAACGCAAGUUGCGCCUAAGGCCUUUCGGCUAAGGGCACGUCUGCCUGGGCGUCACACAAAAAGACACUCCACACCAAUCCUGGUAUGGAUGUGGUAUUUGGCCCCUCAUACCAUACGGUGUAAUGGGCUUAAGUAAGAUGUGGCUGCUGGUGGUGCCGAUCACAGCACAAGGUGGAUGACAUAAGUUAUUCUCGGUGUUAUGAUCUGGAGAACUCUCCACCAUGUUUAUGGCCCUUUUUGGACCCAUGGUCUUGAGCAUGCUGCUCGGUCUGCGACCCCAGGUCAGUCGGGAUUACCCGCUGAAUUUAAGCAUAUCAAUAAGCGG
rnacentral:rRNA from 1 species